rnacentral:rRNA from 1 species
AACGUAGGGGGCGAGCGUUGUCCGGAAUUACUGGGCGUAAAGGGCGCGCAGGCGGUCACUUAAGUCAGGGGUGAAAACUGGCGGCUCAACCGGCAGCCUGCCUUUGAAACUGAGUGACUAGAGGGCAGGAGAGGGGAGUGGAAUUCCCGGUGUAGCGGUGAAAUGCGUAGAUUUCGGGAGGAACACCAGUGGCGAAGGCGGCUCUCUGGCCUGUCCCUGACGCUGAGGCGCGAAAGCGUGGGGAGCAAACGGG